rnacentral:rRNA from 1 species
CGUGGGUAACCUGCCUUAUAGUGGGGGAUAGCCUUUCGAAAGGAAGAUUAAUACCGCAUAAGAUUGUAGUAUCGCAUGAUAUAGCAAUUAAAGUAGCAAUUCGCUAUAAGAUGGACCCGCGUCGCAUUAGCUAGUUGGUGAGGUAAUGGCUCACCAAGGCGACGAUGCGUAGCCGACCUGAGAGGGUGAUCGGCCACAUUGGGACUGAGACACGGCCCAGACUCCUACGGGAGGCAGCAUG